AAUUUGAGAGGAGCUGUCCUUAGUACGAGAGGACCGGGAUGGACAUACCUCUGGUGUACCAGUUGUCGUGCCAACGGCAUAGCUGGGUAGCUAUGUGUGGACGGGAUAAGUGCUGAAAGCCAUCUAAGCAUGAAGCCCCCCUCAAGAUGAGAUUUCCCAACUUCGGUUAUAAGUCCCUCAAAGAUGAUGAGGUUAAUAGGUUCGAGGUGGAAGCAUGGUGACAUGUGGAGCUGACGAAUACUAUCGAUCGAAGACUUAAUCAAAA
rnacentral:rRNA from 1 species